UCCCAAAUCAUCUAGGCGGCUAGGAUAUGUGGCUUUCACCCACGCGACCCGGGUUCAUGUCCCGGUUUGGGAA
rnacentral:tRNA from 2 species